rnacentral:rRNA from 1 species
UGCCAGCAGCCGCGGUAAUACGGAGGGUCCGAGCGUUAAUCGGAAUUACUGGGCGUAAAGCGUACGCAGGCGGCCAUUUAAGUCAGAUGUGAAAGCCCCGGGCUCAACCUGGGAACUGCAUUUGAAACUGGAUGGCUAGAGUGCGACAGAGGGUGGUAGAAUUUCAGGUGUAGCGGUGAAAUGCGUAGAGAUCUGAAGGAAUACCAAUGGCGAAGGCAGCCACCUGGGUCGACACUGACGCUCAUGUACGAAAGCGUGGGUAGCAAACAGGAUUAGAUA